UACGUAGGAUCCAAGCGUUGUCCGGAUUUACUGGGUGUAAAGCGUGCGCAGGCGGAUUGUUAAGCAAGAUGUGAAAUCCCCGGGCUUAACCUGGGAAUGGCAUUUUGAACUGGCAAUCUAGAGUGUGUCAGAGGGGGGUAGAAUUCCACGUGUAGCAGUGAAAUGCGUAGAGAUGUGGAGGAAUACCGAUGGCGAAGGCAGCCCCCUGGGAUAACACUGACGCUCAUGUACGAAAGCGUGGGUAGCAAACAGG
rnacentral:rRNA from 1 species